rnacentral:ncRNA from 11 species
GCUGAAAUAGCAAAGUGGUAAUGCGAGAAGCCUAAGAUUUCUUUAUCGAAGGUUCAAAUCCUUCUUUCAGUU